rnacentral:rRNA from 1 species
UGGGGAAUAUUGCACAAUGGGGGAAACCCUGAUGCAGCAACGCCGCGUGAAGGAAGAAGGGUUUCGGCUCGUAAACUUCUAUCGAUAGGGACGAAAGAGAUGACGGUACCUAAAUAAGAAGCCCCGGCUAACUACGUGCCAGCAGCCGCGGUAAUACGUAGGGGGCAAGCGUUAUCCGGAAUUACUGGGUGUAAAGGGAGCGUAGGCGGCAAGGUAAGUAAGAUGUGAAAGCCCGUAGCUUAACUGCGAGGAUUGCAUUUUAAACUAUCUAGCUUGAGUACAGGAGAGGUAAGCGGAAUUCCUAGUGUAGCGGUGAAAUGCGUAGAUAUUAGGAAGAACACCAGUGGCGAAGGCGGCUUACUGGACUGUAACUGACGCUGAGGCUCGAAAGCGUGGGGAGCGAACAGG